GUCCACACCGUAAACGGUGGGCGCUAGUUGUGGGAACCUUCCACGGUUUCUGCGACGCAGCUAACGCAUUAAGCGCCCCGCCUGGGGAGUACGAUCGCAAGAUUAAACUCAAAGGAAUUGACGGGCCCCGCACAAGCAGCGGAGCAUGCGGCUUAAUUCGACGCAACGCGAAGAACCUUACCAAGGCUUGACAUAUACAGGAAUAUGGCAGAGAUGUCAUAGCGGUUAAACGUCUGUAUACAGGUGGUGCAUGGUUGUCGU
rnacentral:rRNA from 1 species